UCAGGAGCCAUUUUGGGGAGGGGUUUAUUACUUAAGACUGAGAUACUCGAGGAAUCAAAAAGUCACAGAACAACUUCACUUCAGGGUCUCUGGGUCACCAUACCACAGUGACUGGGUGGGAGCUGGCCACAAGACAGUCACAGAGAAGGUGCGGACUAGUGGCAGGUUACCUGAUUAGUUUAAGCAGCAAUGUGCUCAGAUUGUGAAGGACACCGCUGUCCCACUCUGUGGUGAGACACCAGCACAGAGCUCAGUGGACUGUUUGCUUCUCCAUCUGCUGACAUGAUGAGGGAUACGCCUCAGCUUGGACAGUUCCCACAUCCUGAGUAUACGAAGGGACCACUGGAGCAAAGGAGGCACCUCACAAGCCCACAGGCCACAAAGCCAAUUAGAGAAAGCAUGACUUGGUGCACACAGAAGGGCACAAACACUAGGAACUGCUAGAGUGACUGCAGCCUUGAGGCAGAGAACAUACCAUGGACUGUGACACUUAUUGGGAAAGGCAGGACAGGAUUCGGCAUUCACACAGCACAGAGUGGACUUGAAAACAAAAUAGGUCCCAGCCCUGAGGUUUGUGUCUAAACAGAGAAAGUGGC
ensembl:lncRNA